rnacentral:rRNA from 1 species
UACGAAGGGGGCUAGCGUUGCUCGGAAUCACUGGGCGUAAAGCGCACGUAGGCGGCUUCUUAAGUCAGGGGUGAAAUCCUGGAGCUCAACUCCAGAACUGCCUUUGAUACUGGGGAUCUCGAGUCCGAAAGAGGUGAGUGGAACUCCGAGUGUAGAGGUGAAAUUCGUAGAUAUUCGGAAGAACACCAGUGGCGAAGGCGGCUCACUGGUCCGGUACUGACGCUGAGGUGCGAAAGCGUGGGGAGCAAACAGG